rnacentral:rRNA from 1 species
GAUGAACGCUGGCGGCGUGCCUAAUACAUGCAAGUCGAGCGAACAGAUGAGGAGCUUGCUCCUCUGACGUUAGCGGCGGACGGGUGAGUAACACGUGGAUAACCUACCUAUAAGACUGGGAUAACUUCGGGAAACCGGAGCUAAUACCGGAUAAUAUAUUGAACCGCAUGGUUCAAUAGUGAAAGACGGUUUUGCUGUCACUUAUAGAUGGAUCCCCGCCGCAUUAGCUAGUUGGUAAGGUAACGGCUUACCAAGGCAACGAGGCGUAGCCGACCUGAGAGGGUGAUCGGCCACACUGGAACUGAGACACGGUCCAGGCUCCUACGGGAGGCAGCAGUAGGGAAUCUUCCGCAAUGGGCGAAAGCCUGACGGAGCAACGCCGCGUGAGUGAUGAAGGUCUUCGGAUCGUAAAACUCUGUUAUUAGGGAAGAACAAAUGUGUAAGUAACUAUGCACGUCUUGACGGUACCUAAUCAGAAAGCCACGGCUAACUACGUG